UACGUAGGGUGCGAGCGUUUAAUCGGAAUUACUGGGCGUAAAGCGCGUGUAGGUGGUGGGACAAGUCUGCUGUGAAAGCGCCUGGCUUAACCGGGCGAGGUCGGCGGAAACUGUCCGACUCGAGGACGGUAGAGGGGGGUGGAAUUCCCGGUGUAGUGGUGAAAUGCGUAGAGAUCAGCAGGAACACCCGUGGCGAAGGCGGCCCCCUGGGCCGAUAAAAAGUCCUGUCAAGGGAAACCUUGGCUGGUACCUGACGCUGAGGCGCGAAGGCUAGGGGGAGCGAACAGG
rnacentral:rRNA from 1 species